rnacentral:rRNA from 1 species
GGGUUGUGAGGUUAAGCGACUAAGCGUACACGGUGGAUGCCCUGGCAGUCAGAGGCGAUGAAGGACGUGCUAAUCUGCGAUAAGCGUCGGUAAGGUGAUAUGAACCGUUAUAACCGGCGAUUUCCGAAUGGGGAAACCCAGUGUGUUUCGACACACUAUCAUUAACUGAAUCCAUAGGUUAAUGAGGCGAACCGGGGGAACUGAAACAUCUAAGUACCCCGAGGAAAAGAAAUCAACCGAGAUUCCCCCAGUAGCGGCGAGCGAACGGGGAGCAGCCCAGAGCCUGAAUCAGUGUGUGUGUUAGUGGAAGCGUCUGGAAAGGCGCGCGAUACAGGGUGACAGCCCCGUACACAAAAAUGCACAUACUGUGAGCUCGAUGAGUAGGGCGGGACACGUGGUAUCCUGUCUGAAUAUGGGGGGACCAUCCUCCAAGGCUAAAUACUCCUGACUGACCGAUAGUGAACCAGUACCGUGAGGGAAAGGCGAAAAGAACCCCGGCGAGGGGAGUGAAAAAGAACCUGAAACCGUGUACGUACAAGCAGUGGGAGCCUCUUUAUGGGGUGACUGCGUACCUUUUGUAUAAUGGGUCAGCGACUUAUAUUCUGUAGCAAGGUUAACCGAAUAGGGGAGCCGAAGGGAAACCGAGUCUUAACUGGGCGUUAAGUUGCAGGGUAUAGACCCGAAACCCGGUGAUCUAGCCAUGGGCAGGUUGAAGGUUGGGUAACACUAACUGGAGGACCGAACCGACUAAUGUUGAAAAAUUAGCGGAUGACUUGUGGCUGGGGGUGAAAGGCCAAUCAAACCGGGAGAUAGCUGGUUCUCCCCGAAAGCUAUUUAGGUAGCGCCUCGUGAAUUCAUCUCCGGGGGUAGAGCACUGUUUCGGCAAGGGGGUCAUCCCGACUUACCAACCCGAUGCAAACUGCGAAUACCGGAGAAUGUUAUCACGGGAGACACACGGCGGGUGCUAACGUCCGUCGUGAAGAGGGAAACAACCCAGACCGCCAGCUAAGGUCCCAAAGUCAUGGUUAAGUGGGAAACGAUGUGGGAAGGCCCAGACAGCCAGGAUGUUGGCUUAGAAGCAGCCAUCAUUUAAAGAAAGCGUAAUAGCUCACUGGUCGAGUCGGCCUGCGCGGAAGAUGUAACGGGGCUAAACCAUGCACCGAAGCUGCGGCAGCGACGCUUAUGCGUUGUUGGGUAGGGGAGCGUUCUGUAAGCCUGUGAAGGUGUGCUGUGAGGCAUGCUGGAGGUAUCAGAAGUGCGAAUGCUGACAUAAGUAACGAUAAAGCGGGUGAAAAGCCCGCUCGCCGGAAGACCAAGGGUUCCUGUCCAACGUUAAUCGGGGCAGGGUGAGUCGACCCCUAAGGCGAGGCCGAAAGGCGUAGUCGAUGGGAAACAGGUUAAUAUUCCUGUACUUGGUGUUACUGCGAAGGGGGGACGGAGAAGGCUAUGUUGGCCGGGCGACGGUUGUCCCGGUUUAAGCGUGUAGGCUGGUUUUCCAGGCAAAUCCGGAAAAUCAAGGCUGAGGCGUGAUGACGAGGCACUACGGUGCUGAAGCAACAAAUGCCCUGCUUCCAGGAAAAGCCUCUAAGCAUCAGGUAACAUCAAAUCGUACCCCAAACCGACACAGGUGGUCAGGUAGAGAAUACCAAGGCGCUUGAGAGAACUCGGGUGAAGGAACUAGGCAAAAUGGUGCCGUAACUUCGGGAGAAGGCACGCUGAUAUGUAGGUGAAGUCCCUUGCGGAUGGAGCUGAAAUCAGUCGAAGAUACCAGCUGGCUGCAACUGUUUAUUAAAAACACAGCACUGUGCAAACACGAAAGUGGACGUAUACGGUGUGACGCCUGCCCGGUGCCGGAAGGUUAAUUGAUGGGGUUAGCGGUAACGCGAAGCUCUUGAUCGAAGCCCCGGUAAACGGCGGCCGUAACUAUAACGGUCCUAAGGUAGCGAAAUUCCUUGUCGGGUAAGUUCCGACCUGCACGAAUGGCGUAAUGAUGGCCAGGCUGUCUCCACCCGAGACUCAGUGAAAUUGAACUCGCUGUGAAGAUGCAGUGUACCCGCGGCAAGACGGAAAGACCCCGUGAACCUUUACUAUAGCUUGACACUGAACAUUGAGCCUUGAUGUGUAGGAUAGGUGGGAGGCUUUGAAGUGUGGACGCCAGUCUGCAUGGAGCCGACCUUGAAAUACCACCCUUUAAUGUUUGAUGUUCUAACGUUGGCCCCUGAUCGGGGUUGCGGACAGUGUCUGGUGGGUAGUUUGACUGGGGCGGUCUCCUCCUAAAGAGUAACGGAGGAGCACGAAGGUUGGCUAAUCCUGGUCGGACAUCAGGAGGUUAGUGCAAUGGCAUAAGCCAGCUUGACUGCGAGCGUGACGGCGCGAGCAGGUGCGAAAGCAGGUCAUAGUGAUCCGGUGGUUCUGAAUGGAAGGGCCAUCGCUCAACGGAUAAAAGGUACUCCGGGGAUAACAGGCUGAUACCGCCCAAGAGUUCAUAUCGACGGCGGUGUUUGGCACCUCGAUGUCGGCUCAUCACAUCCUGGGGCUGAAGUAGGUCCCAAGGGUAUGGCUGUUCGCCAUUUAAAGUGGUACGCGAGCUGGGUUUAGAACGUCGUGAGACAGUUCGGUCCCUAUCUGCCGUGGGCGCUGGAGAACUGAGGGGGGCUGCUCCUAGUACGAGAGGACCGGAGUGGACGCAUCACUGGUGUUCGGGUUGUCAUGCCAAUGGCACUGCCCGGUAGCUAAAUGCGGAAGAGAUAAGUGCUGAAAGCAUCUAAGCACGAAACUUGCCCCGAGAUGAGUUCUCCCUGACUCCUUGAGAGUCCUGAAGGAACGUUGAAGACGACGACGUUGAUAGGCCGGGUGUGUAAGCGCAGCGAUGCGUUGAGCUAACCGGUACUAAUGAACCGUGAGGCUUAACCUUACAACGCCGAAG